rnacentral:rRNA from 1 species
GAUGAACGCUAGCGGGAGGCCUAACACAUGCAAGCCGAGCGGUAGAGAUUCUUCGGAAUCUUGAGAGCGGCGUACGGGUGCGGAACACGUGUGCAACCUGCCUUUAUCAGGGGGAUAGCCUUUCGAAAGGAAGAUUAAUACCCCAUAAUAUAUUUGAUGGCAUCAUUAGAUAUUGAAAGCUUUGGCGGAUAGAGAUGGGCACGCGCAAGAUUAGAUAGUUGGUGAGGUAACGGCUCACCAAGUCGAUGAUCUUUAGGGGGCCUGAGAGGGUGAUCCCCCACACUGGUACUGAGACACGGACCAGACUCCUACGGGAGGCAGCAGUGAGGAAUAUUGGACAAUGGGUUAGCGCCUGAUCCAGCCAUCCCGCGUGAAGGACGACGGCCCUAUGGGUUGUAAACUUCUUUUGUACAGGGAUAAACCUACUCUCGUGAGAGUAGCUGAAGGGACUGUACGAAUAAGCACCGGCUAACUCCGU